rnacentral:rRNA from 1 species
CGGGACGGGUGAGUAACGCGUGGGUAACCUGCCUCAUACAGGGGGAUAACAGUUAGAAAUGGCUGCUAAUACCGCAUAAGACCACAGUACUGCAUGGUACAGUGGUAAAAACUCCGGUGGUAUGAGAUGGAUCCGCGUCUGAUUAGGUAGUUGGUGAGGUAACGGCCCACCAAGCCGACGAUCAGUAGCCGACCUGAGAGGGUGACCGGCCACAUUGGGACUGAGACACGGCCCAG